GUGCCUAACACAUGCAAGUCGAACGAGAAAGUCCCGCAAGGGGAUGAGUAAAGUGCGACCGGGUGAGUACACGUGACUAACCUACCUUCGAAUGGGGAAUAACCUCGGGAAACCGGGGCUAAUACCGCAUAACGUCCGGGCUGAGACGCCCUGGACCAAAGGAGCAAUUCGCUCGAAGAGGGGGUCGCGGCUGAUUAGCUAGUUGGCGGGGUAACGGCCCACCAAGGCUAUGAUCAGUAGCCGGCCUGAGAGGGCGCACGGCCACACUGGAACUGAAACACGGUCCAG
rnacentral:rRNA from 1 species